rnacentral:lncRNA from 1 species
AUGCUUUCAGUCCUAAGAGGCAGAUGGACCUGUGAGCAGAGAGUACCAAGGAACCACACAGGUACAGUGAGUGUACAGAGAAGUACUGGAAUGAAGGACCAUCGGCUGCCAAUAGUCUCAUGUUUGUUUUUCCAGUGUCAGAAAUCAGCUUGA